UACGUAGGGGGCAAGCGUUGUCCGGAAUCAUUGGGCGUAAAGAGCGUGUAGGCGGUUUGAUAAGUCUGCUGUGAAAGUCCAAGGCUCAACCUUGGGAUGCCGGUGGAUACUGUCGAACUCGAGUCCGGAAGAGGAGUGUGGAAUUCCUGGUGUAGCGGUGAAAUGCGCAGAUAUCAGGAGGAACACCGAUGGCGAAGGCAGCACUCUGGGCCUGACCUGACGCUGAGGAGCGAAAGCGUGGGGAGCGAACAGG
rnacentral:rRNA from 1 species